GUUCCCUUCAGCAGCACAUAUACUAAACUUGAAACCAUACAGAAAAGAUUAGCACAGUCCACGUGCAAGGAUGGCACCAAAGUUCAUGAAGCAUGCCAUAUUUUA